rnacentral:pre_miRNA from 1 species
GGAGGGUCUGAUCCAAAACCCAUUGAAAUCAAUGGGAGUCUUUCUAUUGGCUCCAGUGGGCUUUGGAUCAGGCCCCUAACC